ensembl:lncRNA
UUUUUUUGCAUGACGACCAAUAAAAAAACAACAGUGUUACCCCUUAUGUUUUUUUUCAUGACGACCAAUAAAAAACAGCAGUGUUACCCCUUUUUUUUUUUUCAUGACGACCAAUAAAAAACAACAGUGUUACCCCUCAUGUUUUUUUUAAUGACGACCAAUAAAAAACGACAGUGUUACCCCUUAUUUUUUUUCAUGACGACCAAUAAAAAAACAACAGUGUUACCCCUUAUAUUUAUUUCAUGACGGCCGAUAAAAAACAACAGUGUUACCCAUUAUGUUUUUUUUCAUGACGACCAAUAAAAAAACAACAGUGUUACCCCUUAUGUUUUUUUUAUGACAACCGAUAAAAACCGACAGAGUUACCCUUCAAGUUUUCCAAUCUAUACUGACCGUGACACCCCCGUCGACAUUUUUGCGGGGAUCCGAACAUGAACUGUUUAGAGCGUUAACCUCCGAACUUAUCAAUGCACCAUCAAGACACCGGAUAAAGUCAUCGCAAAGGUUAUACUUGACUUUAUAAUUCGCAUGAAAUAGAGAUAUGAGUCUUCCAACAGAGGACAUCAACCGGACUUGAACCCCGGUCUCCAGGGGGUUAGCUCACAGCUCUCUCCACUUCCCACUGAGAUUUGUAAUUUAUAAAUGUCUGAGGUUAUAUAUGACAAUAAUCAAUCAUCAAUAAAGAGGAUAUACAUGACAUUAAAAUGUAUGUGUGUGUUUCUAUUAUUUCCCUUAAGUUUUUUUUAAUGACGACCAAUAAAAAACGACAGUGUUACCCCUUAUGUUUUUUUUCAUGA